rnacentral:rRNA from 1 species
CGACGCACAGCGAAAGGUGCUUGCACCUUUCAAGUGAGUGGCGAACGGGUGAGUAACACGUGGACAACCUGCCUCAAGGCUGGGGAUAACAUUUGGAAACAGAUGCUAAUACCGAAUAAAACUUAGUGUCGCAUGACACAAAGUUAAAAGGCGCUUCGGCGUCACCUAGAGAUGGAUCCGCGGUGCAUUAGUUAGUUGGUGGGGUAAAGGCCUACCAAGACAAUGAUGCAUAGCCGAGUUGAGAGACUGAUCGGCCACAUUGGGACUGAGACACGGCCCAAACUCCUACGGGAGGCUGCAGUAGGGAAUCUUCCACAAUGGGCGAAAGCCUGAUGGAGCAACGCCGCGUGUGUGAUGAAGGCUUUCGGGUCGUAAAGCACUGUUGUAUGGGAAGAACAGCUAGAAUAGGAAAUGAUUUUAGUUUGACGGUACCAUACCAGAAAGGGACGGCUAAAUACGUGCCAGCAGCCGCGGUAAUACGUAUGUCCCGAGCGUUAUCCGGAUUUAUUGGGCGUAAAGCGAGCGCAGACGGUUUAUUAAGUCUGAUGUGAAAGCCCGGAGCUCAACUCCGGAAUGGCAUUGGAAACUGGUUAACUUGAGUGCAGUAGAGGUAAGUGGAACUCCAUGUGUAGCGGUGGAAUGCGUAGAUAUAUGGAAGAACACCAGUGGCGAAGGCGGCUUACUGGACUGCAACUGACGUUGAGGCUCGAAAGUGUGGGUAGCAAACAGGAUUAGAUACCCUGGUAGUCCACACCGUAAACGAUGAACACU